UCCCAUUAAGAGCUGCACAGGCAAUGUCUGUGACAGAGAGAUCCUGGUAAACACAGAAGGCAUAGCCUUUCGAAUUACCAGUUUCCCUGUCCUUAACAAGAUCGAAGCCCCGAAGAGGACCAAACGACUCGAGCAACUCCCGAACUUGUGCUUCAGUGAAGUAGUACGGAAGUCCACCAACAAAAAUCCGAUCAGGCCCCUCAAGCCCUCCAGCAGAACCUGGUGUCAGUCCCACUGCACCGAGAUUGAGAUUGGGGUUUGGCUGGCUUGGGCCGAGAGCAGCGGCAAGAGAAGGGUUGUAGUCACUUGGCCUUCUCACCUUUACCGGUCCACCCUCAAAGAUAAUGCCAUCCAAGGCCAUUGCAUUGCUAGCUUCUUCCACUGACCUCAUUUCCACAAAAGCAAAUUUCUUUUCAUGAUUUAUAUAUACAUUAACAACAGCAUCACCUGGACCGGCGGUGUUUCCACCAAUAGCAGCCAUAACCUGGCUAAAGAAAGUUGCCACGGACUGUUCAUUUGCAGUUGGAGAAAGCCCACCAACAUAAACUCGUCUAGCAUGCCGAGUUGCCUGUUGUGUCAUUGCUUGAGGCAUCAUAGGCAUUGGUUGGAACUGUCCGGUAGUCAUCGGGAUUAUAUUUGGAAACAUUCCUGGAAUGGCUGCUAGAGCCCCUGUCAUUUGACCUGGAACAGGUGCACCGGGAACCAUAGCACCUUGGGGAGGUGCCAUGUCAAAGCCACUGACCCGUUUGCUCUUUGAUCUUGAGCGUGAGCGAGACCUCGAUCUAUGCUCCGAUCUGCCCCGCGACCGAGACUCAGACCUGUGGCUACGACGCCCCUCUCUGUCCCUAUCAUAGUCCCGAUGCCUAUCGUAGUCCCGGCUGUGAUGUCGGCUUCUUUCACUCCUAUCUCUCUCCCUGUCCCGGUCCUUGUGAUGGCGAUCACGAUCGCGGUCGCGCUCCCGCUCCCGAUCUCUAUCCCUGUCUCUAUCCCUAUGUCGAUCUCUAUCCCUGUCCCGACCUCUAUC
rnacentral:misc_RNA from 1 species